CCUACGUGAGUCAGCAGUGAGGAAUAUUGGUCAAUGGGCUUACGCCUGAACCAGCCAAGUCGCGUGAGGGAAGACUGCCCUAUGGGUUGUAAACCUCUUUUGUCAGGGAGCAAUUGGCGCUACGUGUAGCGUUAUCGAGAGUACCUGAAGAAAAAGCAGCGGCUAACUCCGUGCCAGCAGCCGCGGUAAUACGGAGGAUGCGAGCGUUAUCCGGAUUUAUUGGGUGUAAAGGGUGCGGAGGCGGAAUGCCAAGUCAGCGGGAAAAUCGCGGGGCUCAACCUCGCUCCGCUGUUGAAACUGGCGUGCUGGAGUGGGCGAGAAGUAUGCGGAAGGCGUGGUGUAGCGGGGAAAUGCAUAGAGAUCACGGAGAA
rnacentral:rRNA from 1 species